rnacentral:rRNA from 1 species
ACCCGCUGAACUUAAGCGCGGAGGAAAAGAAACCAACAGGGAUUGCCCUAGUAACGGCGAGUGAAGCGGCAACAGCUCAAAUUUGAAAUCUGGCCCCUUUCGGGGGUCCGAGUUGUAAUUUGCAGAGGGUGCUUUGGCGUCGGCAGCGGUCUAAGUUCCUUGGAACAGGACGUCGCAGAGGGUGAGAAUCCCGUACGUGGCCGCCUGCCUUGGCCGUGUAAAGCCCCUUCGACGAGUCGAGUUGUUUGGGAAUGCAGCUCUAAUUGGGAGGUAAAUUUCUUCUAAAGCUAAAUACGGGCCAGAGACCGAUAGCGCACAAGUAGAGUGAUCGAAAGAUGAAAAGCACUUUGGAAAGAGAGUCAAAAAGCACGUGAAAUUGUUGAAAGGGAAGCGCUUGCAGCCAGACUUGCCCGCCGUCGCUCACCCGGCCUCGGCCGGGGCACUCUUCGGCGGGCAGGCCAGCAUCGGUUCGGGCGGUCGGACAAUGGCCUCUGUCAUGUACCACCCCUCGGGGUGGCCUUAUAGGGGAGGCGUGACGCGACCAGCCCGGAUCGAGGACCGCGCUUCGGCUAGGAUGCUGGCGUAAUGGCUGU